CAAAUCUAAUUGUCAUUUCAAAGUAAACAAUUCAUAAAUUGAAAAUUAAUUUAAUUCAUUCCAAUAUCUUUUAAUUCAGCAAUGACUAUUUAUCAUUUAUAUAUUUUUGAUAAAUUCGGUACUAUGCUGUAUUAUGCCGAAUGGAACCGUACAAAGAAAUCUGGUGUUAGCAGAGAAGAGGAAGCGAAACUUACUUAUGGAAUGCUUUUUUCAAUAAAAUCUUUCGUAAGUAAAAUAUCUCCACAUGAUCCCCGCGAAGGAUUUCUUUACUACAAAACGAACAGAUAUGCGCUUCACUACAUGGAAACACCUUCCGGCCUAAAAUUUGUGUUGUAUACCGAUACUGCCGCGUUGAAUGUGAAAGAGCUGUUGCAGCAGUUGUAUAGCAAAAUUUGGGUAGAAUAUGUCGUACGUGAUCCACUUUGGAAUCCAGGCACACCCGUAACAUCGGAGUUGUUUCAAACGAAGUUAGAUGAAUUUAUAAAGCAGUCCGCUCUAUAUGGCAUACGUAAUAUAUAAGACAUCAUAAUCAUUAGUGCAAAUUUACUUUAUUUAAACAUUUCCGUUCCGUUGGGUGACCAUUAGCUCAAUAUAUGUACUGCCUACCGCUUUCUGUCGAAAACUUCGCCUUAGUUUUUAGAUUAUGCUUCAGUAUAUCACCAUUCCGAAUAAAUUUGGUAUAACUUUUCUUAAUGUUGGUUAGUAAUAAAACAGUAGAUAAUAAUAUUUUAAUUGCUACUACGA
rnacentral:misc_RNA from 1 species